rnacentral:rRNA from 1 species
GGAUAACGUUUGGAAACGAACGCUAAUACCGCAUGAUAUUAUCUUAUCGCAUGAUAGGAUGAUCAAAGGAGUGAUCCGCUGAAAGAUGGGCUCGCGUCCGAUUAGGUAGUUGGUGAGGUAACGGCCCACCAAGCCGACGAUCGGUAGCCGGACUGAGAGGUUGGACGGCCACAUUGGGACUGAGACACGGCCCAGACUCCUACGGGAGGCAGCAGUAAGGGAUAUUGGUCAAUGGGGGAAACCCUGAACCAGCAACGCCGCGUGAGGGAAGACGGUUUUCGGAUUGUAAACCUCUGUCCUCUGUGAAGAUGAUGACGGUAGCAGAGGAGGAAGCUCCGGCUAACUACGUGCCAGCAGCCGCGGUAAUACGUAGGGAGCGAGCGUUGUCCGGAUUUACUGGGUGUAAAGGGUGCGUAGGCGGCUAUGCAAGUCAGUAGUGAAAUCCAUGGGCUUAACCCAUGAACUGCUAUUGAAACUGCACAGCUCGAGUGAAGUAGAGGUAGGCGGAAUUCCCGGUGUAGCGGUGAAAUGCGUAGAGAUCGGGAGGAACACCAGUGGCGAAGGCGGCCUACUGGGCUUUAACUGACGCUGAGGCACGAAAGCGUGGGUAGCAAACAGGAUUAGAUACCCUGGUAGUCCACGCUGUAAACGAUGAUUACUAGGUGUGGGGGGACUGAACCCUUCCGUGCCGGAG